CAGAGUAUUUUUGAAGAGGCGUAUAAUGUACGUUUCAGUUCUCUCUCUCAAUCACUCAAUCAUCGUUCAUUUUCUCAAACAAAACCCUAAUCACCUCAUCUGCGAAACCCUAAUCGGCGAUUCAUCUUCUGACCAACCCUAAUCGGCGAUUCCUCUGCUUCCCCUGUCAAUCGAUCCUGUGCGCCGUAAUCGAUUUUCUUAUGUAUUGACUGUUAUUUGUUGAUGUGUUAUCAAUAAUUCCUCUUUAUAGAAUGAUGAAGAUUGGUGUAAAACUCUCCAGCCGCUAUCAAUAUCCUUCUUCAGAUGAAGUUCAACCGCUCCAUAAUUGUGGGUCAAGAAAACAUCUACUUCUAUAUCACUCUGAUCAAAGGAUUUGUGGUCGGAAAAACAUUAAAGACAAUGGGGUAGAGCCUGGUUUGUGUCUAAUUUUUCAAAAGUUGUAAGUUUACUCAGGUUAUAUUGGGUUUUUAUUUCUUGGUUGAUAAUAGGUGAGUCUCUGAUUUCUUGGAUUUUACUUCAUGUUUUUAUUUUUCUAGGGUUCUUAUUGCCAUGGGUUUUAUUUGUCUUUUGUUUUGUUAGAUUUCUUGCUCUUGUGUUUUGGUUCAGGGUUUAGGAGUCAAGCGUUGGCCUUGGGGAUCAAUUAAAGAAGAUGAACAUUGGUUUGUUGUUUGCACAGCACAGACCCUACUCCGUUCUUCAAAUCAGUUACAAUAUUCAAUCGACCCUGUGCGACAACGUUUAAUCAGUCUUCAAUACUCAAUAGUGAACAUCGACGGCAAUGAUUCCUUGAUCUUCUUCUAAAAGUUAUGGCUCUGUUUUGUUUGAUUAGGUCUGAUUCGGUUUCAUCUUUGUCACACUAUGAUUUCGCAAACUAUUAAUGUUCAUCUUUUAUGUGUCUGUGGUAAUCGUUGAUGAUGUCGGUUGUUAUGGUGGAUGUGGGCGGCGAGAUGGCGGUCAAGUGGAUAGGGUUUUGAUCAACUUCCGACACGUUUCCGCGCAACAUGCGACAAAAAUACAUAAAUAAGGUUUGGUGAGCUAGGAGCCUAUACAGUUUACAACAACAAUCAAACAGUAUUCUAUUCGGAAAAGAAGGUGCUACGAGUGAUGAGGUUAUAAUGGCAGCUAACAAUUCUAAAGCCCACAACUUUUUUAUGCAAUUGUUGAAUGGUAGACCAUAUGGUUGGGAAAUUGGGAACACAAUUGUUAGGAGGGCAGAAGCAAAGGAUCUCAACUGCAAGGGCACUAAUUAGACAACCAACAAUGUUGCUUCUAGAUGAAGCCACAAGUUCUUUAGAUUCACAUUCUGAAAUGGCAGUACAAAAAGCUUUGACUCAAAUAAUCAUUGUACAUCUUAUAGCUACAAUUUGUAUGUUUAUGCUUAGAGCAAAAAGAAAAAAAAUACUUAUGUUAUUACAACAUUAAAACAACCCAUCCAACGGAAUUAAUGGUGCUUA